UUUAUGGAGAGUUUGAUCCUGGCUCAGGAUGAACACUGGCGGCGUGCCUAAUACAUGCAAGUCGAGCGAACGGAUGAGAAGCUUGCUUCUCUGAUGUUAGCGGCGGACGGGUGAGUAACACGUGGAUAACCUACCUAUAAGACUGGGAUAACUUCGGGAAACCGGAGCUAAUACCGGAUAAUAUUUUGA
rnacentral:rRNA from 1 species